rnacentral:lncRNA from 1 species
CUAAAUCAUUGCUCCCUGCAUUUCAUUUAGCUUGGAAAGAUAUAAUAAAACUCAAACAAAGGAACUUCCUUUGGACAAAUGGAGUUAUGGACCCAGAUUUUUCUAAGGGGGCAGCAGAGGUGCCAACCAACUAAUGGACCUGAAUGUAGACAAUGCCAAUACCUGGGGAGAGAAGGAUGUGAACAAGAAUAUGCCUCACCUUGAACAGUUGCCACAGUCUGGGGUGUACAGAAAGAGAGGCCUCUGAAUUAAGAGUGUACCUCCAAAAACCUUAGAAGUUACGUGGAGAAAAUUGUGACUUGCUGGAUUCCAAGACUGGAUAUCAUGGAAAUAAAACCUAAUUUAAAAAU